AAUUUGCAGAGGGCGCUUUGGCAUUGGCAGCGGUCCAAGUUCCUUGGAACAGGACGUCACAGAGGGUGAGAAUCCCGUACGUGGUCGCUAGCCUUUACCGUGUAAAGCCCCUUCGACGAGUCGAGUUGUUUGGGAAUGCAGCUCUAAAUGGGAGGUAAAUUUCUUCUAAAGCUAAAUACUGGCCAGAGACCGAUAGCGCACAAGUAGAGUGAUCGAAAGAUGAAAAGCACUUUGGAAAGAGAGUUAAAAAGCACGUGAAAUUGUUGAAAGGGAAGCGCUUGCAGCCAGACUUGCCUGUAGUUGCUCAUCCGGGUUUUUACCCGGUGCACUCUUCUACGGGCAGGCCAGCAUCAGUUUGGGCGGUUGGAUAAAGGUCUCUGUCAUGUACCUCCUCUCGGGGAGAACUUAUAGGGGAGACGACAUGCAACCAGCCCGGACUGAGGUCCGCGCAUCUGCUAGGAUGCUGGCGUAAUGGCUGUAAGCGGCCCGU
rnacentral:rRNA from 1 species